rnacentral:rRNA from 1 species
ACUCCUGCGGGAGGCAGCAGUGGGGAAUUUUGGACAAUGGGCGAAAGCCUGAUCCAGCAAUGCCGCGUGAGUGAAGAAGGCCUUCGGGUUGUAAAGCUCUUUUGUCAGGGAAGAAACGGUGAAAGCUAAUAUCUUUUGCUAAUGACGGUACCUGAAGAAUAAGCACCGGCUAACUACGUGCCAGCAGCCGCGGUAAUACGUAGGGUGCAAGCGUUAAUCGGAAUUACUGGGCGUAAAGCGUGCGCAGGCGGUUUUGUAAGUCUGAUGUGAAAUCCCCGGGCUCAACCUGGGAAUUGCAUUGGAGACUGCAAGGCUAGAAUCUGGCAGAGGGGGGUAGAAUUCCACGUGUAGCAGUGAAAUGCGUAGAUAUGUGGAGGAACACCGAUGGCGAAGGCAGCCCCCUGGGUCAAGAUUGACGCUCAUGCACGAAAGCGUGGGGAGCAAACAGGAGUAGAAACCCGAGUAGUCCCAUGAU